CUAAAUGUUUGUUUUGCUUGACCCUCACCUCAUCUGUGUAUAGAUACAUCUCUUUAAUUCUUAGCUUUACUGCAGGCCUAUCUAUCCCUAAUAUCUCUCUCCCACAGACGGAAUUACAAGUUUUCUGCUUCAGAACUAUACAAAACUCAGAGGACUGUCUCUCUGUGAUUUCUAACUGGAUGGCUGCUCACUUCCUUAAACUUAACCUGUUUAAAACAGAACUUUUCAUCUUCUCUCCCUCAAGUGUUGUUACUCCUGUGUCUGUUUAAUUUCAAGUCAAUGGUGCUACCAUCAGUUCUACCUCACAGGCUCACUGCCUAGGUAUUCUCUUUGACUCCCACCUUUCCUUCACCCAUUAUGUCCCAUAACACAUCAAAUCCUGCUGGUUCCAUUUCGAAAACAUAGUUCGCAUCCGACCCUAUGUAACACCUGAUACAGCUUGGGUGCUGGUCCAUGCCGCUAUAAUCUCUCACCUUGACUACUGUAAUUUGCUUCUCA